rnacentral:rRNA from 1 species
UACGUAGGGUGCAAGCGUUGUCCGGAUUUAUUGGGCGUAAAGAGCGUGUAGGCGGCUAGGUAGGUCCGUUGUGAAAACUGGAGGCUUAACUCGUGGCCUGCAGUUGAGACUGUCUGGCUUGAGUGUGGGAGAGGAGAGUGGAAUUCCUGGUGUAGCGGUGAAAUGCGUAGAUAUCAGGAGGAACACCGGUGGCGAAGGCGGCUCUCUGGACCACAACUGACGCUGAGGCGCGAAAGCUAGGGGAGCAAACAGG